rnacentral:rRNA from 1 species
UACAGAGGUCCCAAGCGUUGUUCGGAUUCACUGGGCGUAAAGGGUGCGUAGGUGGUUAGGUAAGUCCGAUGUGAAAUCUCCAGGCUCAACCUGGAAAUGGCAUUGGAUACUAUCUAGCUUGAGGAGUGGAGGGGGGACUGGAAUUCUCGGUGUAGCAGUGAAAUGCGUAGAUAUCGAGAGGAACACCAGUGGCGAAGGCGAGUCCCUGGACACUUACUGACACUGAGGCACGAAAGCUAGGGGAGCAAACAGG